rnacentral:piRNA from 1 species
UCAGAACAUCACAUGAUGGUA